CACCCCAACACUCCAAAGGUGCAGCAUUCGAUUCUAACUAUUAAACAGAGAAGAUUAGCAUGGCCCCUGCACUAAGGAUGACACGCUCAAUCAAAGAGAAGCUACCAAUUUUU
rnacentral:snRNA from 1 species